rnacentral:ncRNA from 3 species
AGCCAGAGGAAACUCUGGUGG